rnacentral:rRNA from 1 species
AUUGAACGCUGGCGGCAUGCCUAACACAUGCAAGUCGUGCGAGAAAGUUCCUUCGGGAGCGAGUAAAGCGGCGCACGGGUGAGUAACACGUAGGUAACCUGCCCCCCAGUCUGGAACAACUAGAGGAAACUCUAGCUAAUACCGGAUGAGACCACGAUCCCUUCGGGGGUUGCGGCCAAAGAUGGCCUCUACUUGUAAGCUAUCGCUGAGGGAUGGGCCUGCGGGCCAUUAGCUUGUUGGUGAGGUAACGGCUCACCAAGGCUGUGGAUGGCUAGCUGGUCUGAGAGGAUGACCAGCCACACUGGGACUGAGAUACGGCCCAGACU